rnacentral:rRNA from 1 species
GACGAACGCUGGCGGCGUGCUUAAUACAUGCAAGUCGAGCGAGGCCCAUCCAGUGGCAACACUGGGGAAGGCCGAGCGGCGAACGGGUGAGUAACACGUGAGCAACCUGCCCCGAAGUCUGGAAUAACAUCGGGAAACCGGUGCUAAUACCGGAUUGCCCCACCUGACCGCAUGAUCGGGUGAGGAAAGAUCUAUCGCUUCGGGGAGGGGCUCGCGGCCUAUCAGCUAGUUGGCGGGGUAACGGCCCACCAAGGCGUCGACGGGUAGCUGGUCUGAGAGGACGACCAGCCACACUGGGACUGAGACACGGCCCAGACUCCUACGGGAGGCAGCAGUAGGGAAUCUUGCGCAAUGGGCGAAAGCCUGACGCAGCAACGCCGCGUGGGGGAUGACGGCCUUC